GACGAACGCUGGCGGCGUGCUUAACACAUGCAAGUCGAACGGAAAGGCCCUGCUUUUGUGGGGUGCUCGAGUGGCGAACGGGUGAGUAACACGUGAGUAACCUGCCCUUGACUUUGGGAUAACUUCAGGAAACUGGGGCUAAUACCGGAUAGGAGCUCCUGCUGCAUGGUGGGGGUUGGAAAGUUUCGGCGGUUGGGGAUGGACUCGCGGCUUAUCAGCUUGUUGGUGGGGUAGUGGCUUACCAAGGCUUUGACGGGUAGCCGGCCUGAGAGGGUGACCGGCCACAUGGGGACUGAGAUACGGCCCAGACGCAUACGGGAGGCAGCAGGGGGGAAUAUGGCACAAGGGGCGGAAGCAUGAGGCAGCAACGCCGCGUGCGGGAGGACGGCCUUCGGGUUGGAAACCGCUUUCGCCUGUGACGAAGCGUGAGGGACGGUAAUGGGUAAAGAAGCACCGGCGAACUACGG
rnacentral:rRNA from 1 species